ensembl:lncRNA
GUUAAAUAAACACAUGUUCUGCUGUUUUUUUUUUUUUUUUUUUGCUAUUGCAAACUGUUCAAUGUUUGUUCCUACAAAGCUGCUGCAGCUAACCACAUUUGCCAUCGAGGAAAGAGCAAAGUCUUUAUGUCACAGAACAUGCAGUUAUGCAAGUAGUUUUGCAUUCAAAUUUGUAAUGUCAUUUUUCAAAACAACCUUACAGUCUCCAGGCAAAUAUAAAGCCCUAGCAGAUUGCAGGAAGAGAGGCUCAGAAGACCUCCUGAUUAGAAAUGGAGAUGUCAUUCAGCUUCUCCAUGAGGAUGCUGAGGGUCGAUGUCUCAAGAAGCAGAAAUAUCACAUUUCUUAUCAGUGUUUCAAUUUCAUUGCUUCAGCCAUGCCUAUAUAGCUCACUGAAAGGAAUGUUAACCUUUGGUUGGUGAAAAAUCUAAACAGAAGAAAAGAAGGUCUGAUUCCAGGGAACAGUUUGCAGAUUUUAAUCGGUGACUAUAGGUUUCGGAAUGCCAAAGGUACAGGUAUAAUAUGAACUGGAUUGUAUGCUAUUUGUUUAAAGCCUAAAAAUGUUACAGCUCCACCAAGUGUAAUUGGCAUAGGAUAAGAACCUCUCUGCUCUUUGAAAUAAGCUGCAAGUUGACUUAUUAAUAAUUUUUUCUUUUAAUAGUUUUAAAUUAAUGAAUAGAGAUGUUUUAAACAUGUCGAACUUUUUCCCUACAAAAUUGAUAGGUUUGAAAGGAAAGUUCAUAUAUAGUGCUGCCUUGUAAGAGAUCCUUCAGAACUAAAUAUUGAUGAUAUACUUUUAAGGAUCCAGCCUUACUAUCCAAGAAUGCUUUACCAGUAUGUUUUUACUCAGUUCUAAGAGCAUAUUCUUUCCUUAUGGUAGGUUUCUACUGCACUUGUGUAUUCAUGAACACACAUACACAAACACACUCUGUUUUGUGCCCGAGUUAAUGUGUGAAGAUAUUAUGAAGCAAGGAGAAUGUUCCUUUCUAUUAACCAUUAGUUAAUGUUUAAAAACCAUUGGUUAACAACCAUUAGCACUUGAAAUUUCUGUAUACAAACCAAUAUUCUUAUAACAUUUUCACCUGAUACUCAGCUAUUUAUACAAAGGCAGCACAAAAAACCCAGACUUGUUUGUGAACAAGAUUAUUAUUAUAUGUACAUAUUUCUUUGCAUUCCUAGUUUUGGACUUGUAUUUGAAUUCUAGGUGAUAUUAUCUUGUGUUUAAAUGAAUCUAACAGGCCAGGAGUAACUAAUUUGAUUCCAAAUUUCAUUUAUGGCGUGAAACAAAACCUAAGUGUGAUAGGAUUCACUAUAAAUAUUGGGUCACAUGGGAAUCCCCAAAAUGGAAUCUCUUCUUGUUUUUUUGUUUGUUUUUGGUUCUCUCAAUCUGGGCCACCUUUCAAAGGUUUUUUGAUAAUUAUUGAAUUGCUGAAUUAUAUAGACAAUUAGUAAUCAGAAGAAGUUGCUAGACCAACAACCUGACCCAAUUGGCAUUUAUUCAAAAUCUAUACCCAACAACUGUAGAAUAUACUAUUAUUUUUAAGUAUACAUGGAACAUUCACCAAGAUAGAUCAUACAUUAGAUCAUGAAAGAAAUCUCAAUAAAUUUCAGAAGAUCAGAAUCA